rnacentral:rRNA from 1 species
AAGACCUUGCGCUUUUGGAGCGGCCGAUGCCUGAUUAGCUAGUUGGUGGGGUAAUGGCCUACCAAAGCUUCGAUCAGUAGCUGGUCUGAGAGGACGGCCAGCCACACUGGGACUGAGACACGGUCCAGACUCCUACGGGAGGCAGCAGUGGGGAAUUUUGGACAAUGGGGGCAACCCUGAUCCAGCCAUGCCGCGUGAGUGAAGAAGGCCUUCGGGUUGUAAAGCUCUUUCAGCCGGAACGAAACGGUUACGGUUAAUACCCGUGAUUACUGACGGUACCGGAAGAAGAAGCACCGGCUAACUACGUGCCAGCAGCCGCGGUAAUACGUAGGGUGCAAGCGUUAAUCGGAAUUACUGGGCGUAAAGCGUGCGCAGGUGGUUUUGUAAGUCAGAUGUGAAAUCCCCGGGCUUAACCUGGGAACU